UGGGGCGGUAGCUCAAUUGGCAGAGCAGCAGGUUGUCACCCUGGCUGGUGCGGGUUCGAAUCCCGUCCGCUCCAU
rnacentral:tRNA from 1 species